UACGGGGGGUGCAAGCGUUUCCGGAAUCAUUGGGCGUAAAGCGUUCGUAGGCUGUAUGUCAAGUCUGGUGUUAAAGCCCGGGGCUCAACUCCGGUUCGGCACUGGAUACUGGCAAACUAGAAUGUGGUAGGGGUAAAGGGAAUUCCUGGUGUAGCGGUGAAAUGCGUAGAUAUCAGGAGGAACAUCUGUGGCGAAAGCGCUUUACUGGGCCAUUAUUGACGCUGAGGAACGAAAGCCAGGGGAGCAAAUG
rnacentral:rRNA from 1 species